AGUAUCCUAGUCUGCCAAUCUUCUAGGAUAUUAGCUAUUCCUGCCAGCUUAAUAUCACCUGCAAAUUUGAUAAGUUCCCCUUCUAUUCCCUCAUCUAAGUUGUUAAUGAAGAUAUUGAAGAGUAAUGGGCCUAUGACGGAACCUUGUGACAUUCCACUGCUUACUUCCCUCUAUGUAGACUUAGACCCAUUAAGGACUACUCGUUGAGUAUGUCAGCCAGUUGCGAAUC